rnacentral:tmRNA from 1 species
CCUCUUCCAACUUUGUGUUCGGCGCCCUAUAUCGGUCGCGCUCGCGGGGCUUGCCCCACGGCUAUGGCGAUAAACGCCGGCGAAGAAUAGGCACAGCGGACCCGGGGGCAGUACCCGGCGGCUCCACCAUCGCAGCUGCUUCCCAGCAGCUUCGUUGACGGGGCCGAACCAGGAUCGACGUGUGUUGAAAAGCGCUGGUUUUUGCUCGGAAUGGGACCACCGCGACGGCCCAUACACAAGUGCCAACGAUAACGAAGCACUCGCGAUUGCGGCGUAACCUGACGGCUUAACGGCCUAAGGUUACUCCAAAAUAGCGCGGUCGGACCGCACCGGGCAACAGAAGCGGAUUCC